rnacentral:lncRNA from 1 species
AAAAAAAUCAUGUUAUGAAUUAAUAUACUUAAUUCUUGCCAUAUAUAAAUAAAGCAGCAUUGCGUCAUGCGUGACAAAAGGGGUUUGGCAGAUAUGAUGCCAACAAUCUUAAAAUUGAUAAUUAACACCAUGAUAAAAUAAUUAUUUAGGUAAGAUGUGAUGUUAAAAAAAUUAGGUAAGAUGUUAUUUGUUUAUUUUAAAAUUUACAAUUCAACACUUACAAUAGUUUUGUUAUAACGACGUGGCAUAGCGUCCUAUCACUCAAACCAAUCUAAAAAAACUCAAUUGAUGUUGUGGUUUUAGGGGCAUAAUAUUAUUUUAGUUGAUUUGAUUGACUUAGAGGGUGUGAGGUGUACGCUUGUUCUUCAAGACUAUUCUGAAGUCUAACACCAACGAACAUAAGAUUCAAAGGGGCGAAGCACAUCAGGAGGUUCCAAGGUCAUCACCCUUUGACGAGGUCCAAGGGACAGAGCUCAUGACGUGUCUCUUUGCCCACAUCAUGUUAAAAGCAUUUGGUUUGUUAAUAGUCUAACCAACAUAAAAUUUUAUGUCGGUAUAGUAAGUGUCUUCAACAAUAACUAUGGCUAUAAUUAACAGUCAACACUAAUUGUCAAUUGACAUCAUUUUAGACAAUUAAUGUAUAAACUGAGUUAUUGCUAACACAUUAAUUGUAACUAAGUUAUUAUUGAAGGAGAUCCUACUAACAAGGUACUGUUGAUGGUAACUGAAUAACCACCAAUCACGAAACAUUAUGUCAUUUCAACUAAAUAUUGUAAUGGUUCUAAUUAUAAAAUGUAAGUCUCUAGUCUAAUUCUAGUAAGUGUUUUCACAAUAGAAACUUAUUUGAAUAUUCAAAGUGUUCUUUUGAAAAUUUGAACCUAAUUACAAACUAAAAUUUUAGAUUAUAAACAGCUCUCUGUUAGCUCUCUGUUUGGUACAAUAUUAGUUCCAAGUAAAAAACACUUAUUAUCAUUAUCAUACGCAAUAAAUCACAUCAAUAGCAAAGCUAAGAUAAAGUCUGAGAAUAGUAAGAUGUAGACAACCU